UGGGGAAUAUUGCACAAUGGGCGCAAGCCUGAUGCAGCAACGCCGCGUGAACGAUGAAGGUCUUCGGAUCGUAAAGUUCUGUUGCAGGGGAAGAUAAUGACGGUACCCUGUGAGGAAGCCCCGGCUAACUACGUGCCAGCAGCCGCGGUAAUACGUAUGGGGCUAGCGUUAUCCGGAUUUACUGGGCGUAAAGGGUGCGUAGGUGGUCUUUCAAGUCGGUGGUUAAAGGCUACGGCUCAACCGUAGUUAGCCUCCGAAACUGGAAGACUUGAGUGCAGGAGAGGAAAGUGGAAUUCCCAGUGUAGCGGUGAAAUGCGUAGAUAUUGGGAGGAACACCAGUAGCGAAGGCGGCUUACUGGACUGCAACUGACACUGAGGCACGAAAGCGUGGGUAGCAAACAGG
rnacentral:rRNA from 1 species